rnacentral:rRNA from 1 species
AAAUUGAAGAGUUUGAUCAUGGCUCAGAUUGAACGCUGGCGGCAGGCCUAACACAUGCAAGUCGAACGGUAACAGGAAGCAGCUUGCUGCUUCGCUGACGAGUGGCGGACGGGUGAGUAAUGUCUGGGAAACUGCCUGAUGGAGGGGGAUAACUACUGGAAACGGUAGCUAAUACCGCAUAAUGUCGCAAGACCAAAGAGGGGGACCUUCGGGCCUCUUGCCAUCGGAUGUGCCCAGAUGGGAUUAGCUUGUUGGUGGGGUAACGGCUCACCAAGGCGACGAUCCCUAGCUGGUCUGAGAGGAUGACCAGCCACACUGGAACUGAGACACGG